CUCCGGGCACCAUGGGACCUGCCUCAGGUCCCAGCCGGCUGCUACUCCUGCUGGCCAGCCUCCCCCUCGUCCUGGGAGCCCCUAUGUAUUCGAUCAUCACCCCAAACAUCCUGCGGCUGGAGAAGGAGGAGACCGUAGUCCUGGAGGCCCACGAAGCCCAAGGCGACAUUCCGGUCACGGUCACCGUCCAUGACUUCCCGGCCAAGAAGCAGGUGCUGUCCAGUGA